rnacentral:rRNA from 1 species
UUAGAGUUUGAUCCUGGCUCAGAUUGAACGCUGGCGGCAAGCCUAACACAUGCAAGUCGAGCGGAUGAGUGGAGCUUGCUCCAUGAUUCAGCGGCGGACGGGUGAGUAAUGCCUAGGAAUCUGCCUGGUAGUGGGGGACAACGUUUCGAAAGGAACGCUAAUACCGCAUACGUCCUACGGGAGAAAGCAGGGGACCUUCGGGCCUUGCGCUAUCAGAUGAGCCUAGGUCGGAUUAGCUAGUAGGUGAGGUAAAGGCUCACCUAGGCGACGAUCCGUAACUGGUCUGAGAGGAUGAUCAGUCACACUGGAACUGAGACACGGUCCAGACUCCUACGGGAGGCAGCAGUGGGGAAUAUUGGACAAUGGGCGAAAGCCUGAUCCAGCCAUGCCGCGUGUGUGAAGAAGGUCUUCGGAUUGUAAAGCACUUUAAGUUGGGAGGAAGGGCAGUAAGUUAAUACCUUGCUGUUUUGACGUUACCAACAGAAUAAGCGCCGGCUAACUUCGUGCCAGCAGCCGCGGUAAUACGAAGGGUGCAAGCGUUAAUCGGAAUUACUGGGCGUAAAGCGCGCGUAGGUGGUUCAGCAAGUUGGAGGUGAAAUCCCCGGGCUCAACCUGGGAACUGCCUCCAAAACUACUGAGCUAGAGUACGGUAGAGGGUAGUGGAAUUUCCUGUGUAGCGGUGAAAUGCGUAGAUAUAGGAAGGAACACCAGUGGCGAAGGCGACUACCUGGACUGAUACUGACACUGAGGUGCGAAAGCGUGGGGAGCAAACAGGAUAAAAUACCCUGGUAGUCCACGCCGUAAACGAUGUC